rnacentral:rRNA from 1 species
UACGUAGGGGGCGAGCGUUGUCCGGAAUCAUUGGGCGUAAAGAGCGUGUAGGCGGCUCAGUCAGUCUGGUGUGAAAACUUGAGGCUCAACCUCAAGCUGUCACUGGAUACUGCUGGGCUAGAGUCCGGAAGAGGAGAGUGGAAUUCCUGGUGUAGCGGUGGAAUGCGCAGAUAUCAGGAGGAACACCUAUGGCGAAGGCAGCUCUCUGGUACGGUACUGACGCUGAGACGCGAAAGCAUGGGGAGCGAACAGG